rnacentral:rRNA from 1 species
CCCUUAGAUGUUCUGGGCUGCACGCGCGCUACACUGAAGCUAUCAACACGUUUUCCCUCCCUGAGAAGGGCGGGUAACCUUUUGAAUCAGCUUCGUGGUAGGGAUCGGGGCUUGCAAUUGUUCCCCGUGAACCAGGAAUUCCUAGUAGACGCGGGUCAUAAGCUCGCAUCGAUUAAGUCCCUGCCCUUUGUACACACCGCCCGUCGCUACUACCGAUUGAACGUUUUAGUGAGGCAUUUGGACCGACGCAUCUCAGUUUAACCGCUGGUUUGUGUUGGAAAGACUUCCAAACUUGAGCGUUUAGAGGAAGUAAAAGUCGUAACA